UAUACAUGUAGAUCAUGCCUUAAGAAAACACAUCAACUCUACCUAGAGGAAAGGAAUACAAGCUACACUUGUCAAUGAAGAACUCACUUGUCCUAGCUUUCUUUGCACUUUGUUUGCUCAUGAUCUCCAAAACAGUAGUGGUAAGUAGGCAACUUGAGGAUAAACCACUGCCAUUCUCUCUCCAAGCGACUGACAAAGGGAAUGAAUACAUUAACAUUGACGGAAUUGCCUCUAGUUCCAAUGUUGUUGGAAAAACAGGAAACGAGGAGAGAAAGCUAGGAGAAACCAAAGCAAUUGGUGAUCUAUCAAUUGACAAAAACAGUUCCAAUGAUGCAGACAAUUUGGCCACACAAAUGAACACUCACAUUGACCUACGCAAAAAAUGGCAUUAAAUGGAUGUAAUGCCACCCUCAAAGCUAUGCUUGCUAGUUGUAUUAACUACUAUUAUAGUGUAAGAAUAUGUGUGUGGAUGAAUUUGCUCGA